rnacentral:misc_RNA from 1 species
GAUGAAGAACGUAGCGAAAUGCGAUAACUAAUGUGAAUUGCAGAAUUCAGUGAAUCAUCGAGUCUUUGAACGCACAUUGCGCCCCCUGGUAUUCCGGGGGGCAUGCCUGUCCGAGCGUCAUUGCUGCCCUCAAGCACGGCUUGUGUGUUGGGCUCCGUCCCCCCGGGGACGGGCCCGAAAGGCAGCGGCGGCACCGAGUCCGGUCCUCGAGCGUAUGGGGCUUUGUCACCCGCUCUUGUAGGCCCGGCCGGCGCUUGCCGACACAUCAAUCUUUUUUCCAGGUUGACCUCGGAUCAGGUAGGGAUACCCGCUGAACUUAAGCAUAUCAAUAAGCGGAGGA